CACGUAGGGCGCAAGCGUUUGUCCGGAAUUAUUGGGCGUAAAGAGCUCGUAGGUGGUUUGUUACGUCUGCUGUGAAAACCUAGGGCUUAACCCUGGGCUUGCAGUGGAUACGGGCAGACUAGAGGUAGGUAGGGGAGAAUGGAAUUCCUGGUGUAGCGGUGAAAUGCGCAGAUAUCAGGAGGAACACCGAUGGCGAAGGCAGGUCUCUGGGCCAUAACUGACGCUGAGAAGCGAAAGCAUGGGGAGCGAACAGG
rnacentral:rRNA from 1 species